GACGAGGGGUCCUAGCGUUGUUCGGAAUCACUGGGCGUAAAGCGUAUGUAGGCGGGCUUUUAAGUCAGGUGUGAAAUCCCACGGCUCAACCGUGGAAUUGCAUUUGAAACUGGAAGUCUUGAGUGUGGGAGAGAUUGGUAGAAUACCUGGUGUAGUGGUGAAAUACGUAGAUAUCAGGUGGAAUACCGGUGGCGAAGGCGGCCAAUUGGCCCAACACUGACGCUGAGAUACGAAAGCGUGGGGAUCAAACAGGAUUAGAUACCCCAGUAGUCC
rnacentral:rRNA from 1 species